AGAGUUUGAUCAUGGCUCAGAUUGAACGCUGGCGGCAUGCCUUACACAUGCAAGUCGAACGGUAACAGGUCUUUCGGGAUGCUGACGAGUGGCGAACGGGUGAGUAAUACAUCGGAACGUGCCUAGUAGUGGGGGAUAACUACUCGAAAGAGUGGCUAAUACCGCAUGAGAUCUAUGGAUGAAAGCAGGGGACCUUCGGGCCUUGUGCUACUAGAGCGGCCGAUGGCAGAUUAGGUAGUUGGUGGGAUAAAAGCUUACCAAGCCUACGAUCUGUAGCUGGUCUGAGAGGACGAUCAGCCACACUGGGACUGAGACACGGCCCAGACUCCUACGGGAGGCAGCAGUGGGGAAUUUUGGACAAUGGGCGCAAGCCUGAUCUAGCAAUGCCGCGUGCAGGAUGAAGGCCUUCGGGUUGUAAACUGCUUUUGUACGGAACGAAAAGUCUUGGGUUAAUACCCUGGGAUCAUGACGGUACCGUAAGAAUAAGCACCGGCUAACUACGUGCCAGCAGCCGCGGUAAUACGUAGGGUGCAAGCGUUAAUCGGAAUUACUGGGCGUAAAGCGUGCGCAGGCGGUUUUGUAAGACAGUGGUGAAAUCCCCGGGCUCAACCUGGGAACUGCCAUUGUGACUGCAAGGCUGGAGUGCGGCAGAGGGGGAUGGAAUUCCGCGUGUAGCAGUGAAAUGCGUAGAUAUGCGGAGGAACACCGAUGGCGAAGGCAAUCCCCCGGGCCUGCACUGACGCUCAUGCACGAAAGCGUGGGGA
rnacentral:rRNA from 1 species